AACGCUAGCUACAGGCUUAACACAUGCAAGUCGAGGGGCAGCAUGAACUUAGCUUGCUAAGUUUGAUGGCGACCGGCGCACGGGUGAGUAACACGUAUCCAACCUGCCGAUGACUCGGGGAUAGCCUUUCGAAAGAGAGAUUAAUACCCGAUGGCAUAGUUCUUCCGCAUGGUAGAACUAUUAAAGAAUUUCGGUCAUCGAUGGGGAUGCGUUCCAUUAGGUUGUUGGCGGGGUAACGGCCCACCAAGCCUUCGAUGGAUAGGGGUUCUGAGAGGAAGGUCCCCCACAUUGGAACUGAGACACGGUCCAAACUCCUACGGGAGGCAGCAGUGAGGAAUAUUGGUCAAUGGACGAGAGUCUGAACCAGCCAAGUAGCGUGAAGGAUGACUGCCCUAUGGGUUGUAAACUUCUUUUAUACGGGAAUAAAGUGAGGCACGUGUGCCUUUUUGUAUGUACCGUAUGAAUAAGGAUCGGCUAACUCCGUGCCAGCAGCCGCGGUAAUACGGAGGAUCCGAGCGUUAUCCGGAUUUAUUGGGUUUAAAGGGAGCGUAGGCGGACGCUUAAGUCAGUUGUGAAAGUUUGCGGCUCAACCGUAAAAUUGCAGUUGAUACUGGGUGUCUUGAGUACAGUAGAGGCAGGCGGAAUUCGUGGUGUAGCGGUGAAAUGCUUAGAUAUCACGAAGAACUCCGAUUG
rnacentral:rRNA from 1 species